rnacentral:lncRNA from 1 species
AUGCCGGUUACCGAUGCGGGUGGGCUCGUGGCCCGGCGGGCAGCGCGGCAGCGCCCGGCAGAACUGGCAGGGCUCGUCGGCGCAGCUGUGCCCCGGGGGACAUUUGCAGUCGCGGUGCUGCGCCGCCCCGCAGGGCGCCGGGCUUCCUGCGGGAAUUCCAGAGGGGUUCCCCUUCCCAUUCCAAAGGGAUUCCCGCUCCCCAGGAAUUCCCAUUCCCAGGGCAAAGGCAGAGCAGGAGGUGGAGCUUCCAGACACGGGGAAGGCUCUGGAGCAGUGGGAUCCCAAAAUUCUCCCUCCCAUCCCCGGGAACGAGAGCUUUCCUGGGAAAAGGAUCCCAAAUUUCUCCCUCCCAUCCCCGGGAACGAGAGACACAAUUUACACAUAAUUUACACACAUUUAGACUCAAUUUAUACACAUUUACACACAGUUUGCACAAAAUUCACCCCCAUUUACACACAAUUUCCACACAAUUCUCCCAUUUACACACAAUUCACCCCCAUUUACACAGAAGUUACACCCAAUUCCCCACACUUUACCCACAAUUUACACACAUCACAUACCCUUAAACACAAUUCCCCUAAUUUACCCACAAUUUACACUCAUCACACACAAUUUACACACAUCACAUACAAUUACACACAUCUCACACAAUUUAUCCCCAUUUCCCCACAAUUACACAAAAUUUACACACACCACACACAACUACACAAAAUUUACCCACAAUUUACCCACAUUUCCCCACAAUUUACACAUAUCACAUACAAUUACACACAAUUCACCCCAUUUCCCUACACUUUACCCACAGUUUCCACACAUCACGUACAAUUACACAGAAGUUACACACAAUUUACACACAUCAGACACAAUUACGUACAAUUACACACAAUUUACCCCCAUUUACCCACACUUUGCCACAGCACGCACAGCUACCCACACGCGACCCCGCUGCCCCGUUCCUGCACUCACGUCCCCUCCAGGUGCACCUGGGGCAGCACUUGGUGCCCCCUCCCCACACGGGCCGGAGCUCCCCGUCCUGGCAGCGCCCAGCGGCGCCCGGCGGCGCCCAGCGCCCGGCCAGCAGCGCCAGCAGCGCCAGCAGCCACGGCCGAGGCAUGGCCGGGCAGGGCCGCCCUGCUGGCACCGCCACCUGUCCGUGCAGGGUCACUCCGCUGGCACCGCCACCCCUGGCAGUGCCACCCGGUCCUGGCAGUGCCACCCGGCCCUGGCAGUGCCACCCGGUCCUGCAGUGCCACCCGGCCCUGCAGAGGCUCUGGAGGAGCUGCCGGGGUUUUUGUGGCCGAGCUCUUCCUGUGCUGCGUUUGUUGGGGUGGGAGGAGCUGGGCUUAA